rnacentral:lncRNA from 1 species
GGGGACUACCGGCGCCGAUUCGCGCCCAGGAAGAGGCAAUUCUGGCAAUCACGCGGUGACCAGUCAAUGACCAGAACGCUUCCCUGAGGCCAUACCCCAAACUGGCAGCCAAUCUCUCGCUCCAUAGCCGUCCCCACCUGGAUGUAACCAUGAAGAAACGAAGGGGUGGAGUUGGAAAAGGGACGAAGACAUUUGCCACUUAAUACCGGUGUCCACUCAGACUCGCAUGCACUGGUAAGACAGAGUGGAGCGAAUGGGGAUGGAUCCCGUGGCACCAUGAGUGCCUCCGGGGGGAACUGUGGUCGAUGCCCGACGCGGUGUAAAGGGACUCUCUGUGUUGUCACACGCCCUCUCCCAAUGGUACCUUUCAUAGUGGGUGGUUUUACCGCUACCCCUGCGUGGCGCAUCCCAGGAGAGAACUAUUUCAUCUCGCGCGCCCCUUGGUGGUGAGAAUGGGGAACAGCAUAUGUAGAUACCGGUGGACGAUUCCAGGAUAAUAGCAAAGGGUGGAAGGGCAAAGUUAGGAUGAAAACCCUAUCGAUUUCUGCAAUCUUGGACUCAGAGAAAAGUGUUCAUAAACUGAGGAUUGAUUCUCUGUAGUGACCACUAUUGUAACAGGGAUCAUUGAACGCAUUUUCUCUGUGUUGGGCAUUGUACUUGUUUGUGCUUUCUUGUUUAAUACAGAAUAGGUCUCAUGAAAGCCAGCCACAGUCCCCCAGCGGGCAGGAGAGAGAAAGCUUCGGACUGAGAUCUGAAGGCCUGGCGUGGGGAAGGCCUCUGUCGUCGAGUGCGAGUAAUACGUGAAAAGGACAACAAGACCUUCCAUUCUGUUCGGAAAGGGAUCAUCUCCAAGGGGACCCACAAACACCGCAUAGGUGUGAUAUCCUGAAUCUCAGCUGGUGGUUCCUAUCGUUGAGGUUGCUCAACACUGGGCUGCUGGUCCUAGUAGAGUGUGCAUCAUUGUGGGAACAUGGAGAAAGGCUCAAUCUUUACAGCCUGACUACGGCGAUUUUCUCAGAGUCUAUGGCUGAGGUGAGUCUGCAUACAAAGCAACCGGUCCACUUCUCUCUUGGCACCUUGCCACAUAACUCGGGAUACAGUCACAACUCCACCGUGGUCUGGUUUCUAGGCCUUUCGUUAAUCGCCCACCCC